rnacentral:rRNA from 1 species
GCGUAGUCGAUGGGAAACGGGUUAAUAUUCCCGUACUUGGUGUUACUGCGAAGGGGGGACGGAGAAGGCUAUGUUGGCCGGGCGACGGUUGUCCCGGUUUAAGCGUGUAGGUGUGUGUUCCAGGUAAAUCCGGUUCACUUUAACACUGAGGCGUGAUGACGAGGCACUACGGUGCUGAAGCAACAAAUGCCCUGCUUCCAGGAAAAGCCUCUAAGCAUCAGGUAACAUCAAAUCGUACCCCAAACCGACACAGGUGGUCAGGUAGAGAAUACCAAGGCGCUUGAGAGAACUCGGGUGAAGGAACUAGGCAAAAUGGUGCCGUAACUUCGGGAGAAGGCACGCUGACAC